GACGAACGCUGGCGGCGUGCUUAACACAUGCAAGUCGAACGGAAAGGCCCUGCUUUUGUGGGGUGCUCGAGUGGCGAACGGGUGAGUAACACGUGAGUAACCUGCCCUUGACUUUGGGAUAACUUCAGGAAACUGGGGCUAAUACCGGAUAGGAGCUCCUGCUGCAUGGGGGGGGUGGGAAAGUUUCGGCGGUUGGGGAUGGACUCGCGGCUUAUCAGCUUGUUGGUGGGGUAGUGGCUUACCAAGGCUUUGACGGGUAGCCGGCCUGAGAGGGUGACCGGGCACAUUGGGACUGAGAUACGGCCCAGACGCCUACGGGAGGCAGCAGUGGGGAAUAUUGCACAAUGGGCGGAAGCCUGAUGCAGCAGCGCCGCGUGCGGGAUGACGGCCUUCGGGUUGUAAACCGCUUUCGCCUGUGACGAAGCGUGAGUGACGGUAAUGGGUAAAGAAGCACCGGCUAACUACGUG
rnacentral:rRNA from 1 species